UACGGAGGGGGCUAGCGUUGUUCGGAAUUACUGGGCGUAAAGCGCACGUAGGCGGAUCUUUAAGUCAGAGGUGAAAUCCCAAGGCUCAACCUUGGAACUGCCUUUGAUACUGGGGAUCUCGAGUUCGGGAGAGGUGAGUGGAACUGCGAGUGUAGAGGUGAAAUUCGUAGAUAUUCGCAAGAACACCAGUGGCGAAGGCGGCUCACUGGCCCGAUACUGACGCUGAGGUGCGAAAGCGUGGGGAGCAAACAGG
rnacentral:rRNA from 1 species